rnacentral:rRNA from 1 species
UACGUAGGGGGCAAGCGUUGUCCGGAUUUAUUGGGCGUAAAGGGCGCGUAGGCGGCUUGGCAAGUGGAUGGUGAAAUCCCUCGGCUUAACCGAGGAACUGCCGUCCAAACUGCUUAGCUUGAGACCGGGAGAGGUGAGUGGAAUUCCCAGUGUAGCGGUGAAAUGCGUAGAUAUUGGGAGGAACACCAGUGGCGAAGGCGGCUCACUGGACCGGUACUGACGCUGAGGCGCGAAAGCGUGGGGAGCAAACGGG